rnacentral:misc_RNA from 1 species
GUUAUACUUGGGUGAGAGUGGUCC